rnacentral:tRNA from 1 species
GCCCGGGUGGCUCAGUUGUUUAAGCGUCAGACUUCGGCUCUGGUCAUGAUUUCGCGGUUUGUGGGUUUGAGCCCUGCAUCGGGCU